rnacentral:rRNA from 1 species
UACGUAGGGUCCGAGCGUUGUUCGGAAUUACUGGGCGUAAAGCGCGCGCAGGCGGUCUUCCAAGUCAGUGGUGAAAGCCUGGAGCUCAACUCCAGAACUGCCAUUGAAACUGUUAGACUUGAGUACGAGAGAGGUGAGUGGAAUUCCCAGUGUAGAGGUGAAAUUCGUAGAUAUUGGGAAGAACACCAGUGGCGAAGGCGGCUCACUGGCUCGUAACUGACGCUCAGGCGCGACAGCGUGGGGAUCAAACAGG